GGAUGCGAUCAUACCAGCACUAAAGCACCGGAUCCCAUCAGAACUCCGAAGUUAAGCGUGCUUGGGCUAGAAUAGUACUAGGAUUUUUACGAGGAAGUCCUCGUGUUGCAUCCC